rnacentral:rRNA from 1 species
UGCAAGUCGAACGAUGAACCGCUUUCGGGCGGGGAUUAGUGGCGAACGGGUGAGUAACACGUGGGCAAUCUGCCCUGCACUCUGGGACAAGCCCUGGAAACGGGGUCUAAUACCGGAUAUGACCGUCUGCCGCAUGGUGGAUGGUGUAAAGCUCCGGCGGUGCAGGAUGAGCCCGCGGCCUAUCAGCUUGUUGGUGAGGUAGUGGCUCACCAAGGCGACGACGGGUAGCCGGCCUGAGAGGGCGACCGGCCACACUGGGACUGAGACACGGCCCAGACUCCUACGGGAGGCAGCAGUGGGGAAUAUUGCACAAUGGGCGAAAGCCUGAUGCAGCGACGCCGCGUGAGGGAUGACGGCCUUCGGGUUGUAAACCUCUUUCAGCAGGGAAGAAGCGAAAGUGACGGUACCUGCAGAAGAAGCGCCGGCUAACUACGUGCCAGCAGCCGCGGUAAUACGUAGGGCGCAAGCGUUGUCCGGAAUUAUUGGGCGUAAAGAGCUCGUAGGCGGCUUGUCACGUCGGUUGUGAAAGCCCGGGGCUUAACCCCGGGUCUGCAGUCGAUACGGGCAGGCUAGAGUUCGGUAGGGGAGAUCGGAAUUCCUGGUGUAGCGGUGAAAUGCGCAGAUAUCAGGAGGAACACCGGUGGCGAAGGCGGAUCUCUGGGCCGAUACUGACGCUGAGGAGCGAAAGCGU